rnacentral:rRNA from 1 species
CCGAUGAUGGUGCAAUACAGGUGAUCGGACAGUCGGGUGUUUCAUCUGACCGAAAGUUCACCGAUAUUUCUUCAAUAGAGGAAGCAAAAGUCGUAACAAGGUAGCUGUAGGUGAACCUGCAGCAGCUGGAUCAUUU